AUUUCUGGCCCUUCGCCAUUUUCCCAAGGACUUCCUCCAACCGGCUAUUUUGUACUGGGCUUCCCAACAAUAUACACACAUACCAAGAGUAAACUCCUUUACAAAAAAUUCUGAAGGAUUUGGAGACAGAGCAAGAGUAAUACACUUGCAGCCUCUGUUGCAGGGUGAUUGCCCCUUUGCAACAACAUCCAUAGAAGACCACUGUCUCUCAACCUGCGUGUUUGCUGUACACAUAUUAAUGGAAACUCAGAAGUACCGAUCUAGAGUCAGGUACUGGCUUCAGUGAAGUGGGAGUGAGCUGACUUUGGAGUAGAAGAUUAAUUGCACAUAAAACCAUCCAGAUGACACUAACCAGACCACUGAGCAACUAGCUUUAAGAUGGUUAUCAGAACUAAUUGUGCUGUUCUGCAGUAACCACCCUGCCUGUACACCACCGAAACUUCCUUUUAAAACCCUUGUCCUCUAACAAAGGGGAUGGUUUUGGGGACAUUAGUCCACCAUCUUUCCAGGUUUCUGGCUUCCUGAAUAAAAC
ensembl:lncRNA